GUCUAUGGCCAUGCCACCCUGAACGUGCCUGAUCUUGUCUGACCUUGGAAGCUAAGCAGGGUCGGGCCUGGUUACUACUUGGAUGGGAGACCAUCUAGGAAGACCAGGUGCUGUAGACA
rnacentral:rRNA from 1 species